rnacentral:misc_RNA from 1 species
GAAAUGCGAUAAGUAAUGUGAAUUGCAGAAUUCAGUGAAUCAUCGAAUCUUUGAACGCACCUUGCGCUUUUUGGCCAUUCCAAAGAGCAUGCCUGUUUGAGUGUCAUUGAAUCCUCAAGGCCCCCCUUUGCCCUUUGUGGCUUUUUCGGGGUCUUGGAUGUGGGAGCGCUGCGGGAGGCCUACAGAUUGGCCCCUCGCUCUCCUCAAACGCAUCAGUAGGGCCUCUCGGGUCUUCGCGGCGUUGAUAGUCGUUCACGCCUCGUCCCCGUUGGGGGGCUCACCUGCUUCGAAAAAAAAAAAAACCCUUCUCUGACUCUUUUGACCUCAAAUCAGGUAGGACUACCCGCUGAACUUAA